UAGGGAAUCUUCCGCAAUGGACGCAAGUCUGACGGAGCAACGCCGCGUGAGUGAAGAAGGAUUUCGGUUCGUAAAACUCUUUUGUUAGAGAAGUACAGCGCAUAGAGUAACUGUUAUGCGUGUGACGGUAUCUAACCAGAAAGCCUCUGCUAACUACGUGCCAGCAGCCGCGGUAAUACGUAGGUGGCAAGCGUUGUCCGGAUUUAUUGGGCGUAAAGCGAGCGCAGGCGGUCAAUUAAGUCUGAUGUGAAAGCCCCCGGCUCAACCGGGGAGGGUCAUUGGAAACUGGUUGGCUGGGGUGCAGAAGAGGAGAGUGGAAUUCCAUGUGUUGCGGUGAAUUGCGUAGAUAUAUGGAGGAACACGAGUGGCGAAGACGACUCUCUGGUCUGUAACUGACGCUGAGGCUCGAAAGCGUGGGUAGCAAACAGG
rnacentral:rRNA from 1 species